GUGCCCAAUGAUUAAGGAAUGACGCGUUAUUGCGAGGACUAAUCUGGCAAGCUAUUCUUUCCACUUGCCAUGCCUUGACUGCUACCUCCUUUUCCACUUCUCUAGUCCCCUCUUGCUUCUCUCCCUGCUUUUUUUUUCUAUUAUUUCUCUCCUUCCUUCCUUCCUUCCCCACUCCUGUUCCUUAAAAGUAAAACCUUUAUGGAUAGCUGGCCAGUGUCCUGUGAACGUGAUUUGAAAGAUGAGGGCAG